rnacentral:tRNA from 1 species
GUUGUCGUGGCCGAGUGGUUAAGGCGAUGGACUUGAAAUCCAUUGGGAUCAUCCCUCGCAGGUUCGAAUCCUGCCGACAACG